rnacentral:misc_RNA from 1 species
GAUGAAGAAACGUAGCAAAAUGCGAUAAGUAAUGUGAAUUGCAGAAUUCAGUGAAUCAUCGAAUCUUUGAACGCACAUUGCGCCCGCCGGUAUUCCGGCGGGCAUGCCUGUCCGAGCGUCAUUUCACCACUCAAGCCCAGCUUGGUGUUGGGGCACCCGGCCGCCUGGCGGUCGGGGCCCCCAAGUACAUCGGCGGUCCCGCUGGGGGCUCCGAGCGCAGUAGCUCGCGGUAAAACGCGCCCCUCGCUCGGCGGCUCCUUCGGGCUUCCAGCCGCUAAACCCGUCCACCGACGCCCUUCGAGUUGACCUCGGAUCAGGUAGGAAUACCCGCUGAACUUAAGCAUAUCAAUAAGCGGAGGA